AUUGAACGCUGGCGGCAGGCCUAACACAUGCAAGUCGAGCGGAUGAAGGGAGCUUGCUCCUGGAUUCAGCGGCGAACGGGUGAGUAAUGCCUAGGAAUCUGCCUGGUAGUGGGGGAUAACGUCCGGAAACGGGCGCUAAUACCGCAUACGUCCUGAGGGAGAAAGUGGGGGAUCUUCGGACCUCACGCUAUCAGAUGAGCCUAGGUCGGAUUAGCUAGUUGGUGGGGUAAAGGCCUACCAAGGCGACGAUCCGUAACUGGUCUGAGAGGAUGAUCAGUCACACUGGAACUGAGACACGGUCCAGACUCCUACGGGAGGCAGCAGUGGGGAAUAUUGGACAAUGGGCGAAAGCCUGAUCCACCCAUGCCGCGUGUGUGAAGAAGGUCUUCGGAUUGUAAAGCACUUUAAGUUGGGAGGAAGGGCAGUAAGUUAAUACCUUGCUGUUUUGACGUUACCAACAGAAUAAGCACCGGCUAACUUCGUG
rnacentral:rRNA from 1 species